CCCCUAGAUGUUCUGGGCCGCACGCGCGCUACACUGAACAGUUCAACAAGUCUUAACCUUGGCCGAUAGGUCUGGGUAAUCUUUGAACGCUGUUCGUGAUUGGGAUAGACCUUUGCAAUUAUGGGUCUUCAACGAGGAAUUCCUAGUAAACGCAAGUCAUCAGCUUGCAUUGAUUACGUCCCUGCCCUUUGUACACACCGCCCGUCGCACCUACCGAUUGAAUGGUCCGGUGAAGCCUCCGGAUUGGCGUGCACCCUCGGGUGCUGCCGAGAAGUUGGCUAAACCUUACCAUUUAGAGGAAGGUGAAGUCGUANCA
rnacentral:rRNA from 1 species